GACGAACGCUGGCGGCGUGCUUAACACAUGCAAGUCGAACGGAAAGGCCCUGCUUUUGUGGGGUGCUCGAGUGGCGAACGGGUGAGUAACACGUGAGUAACCUGCCCUUGACUUUGGGAUAACUUCAGGAAACUGGGGCUAAUACCGGAUAGGAGCUCCUGCUGCAUGGUGGGGGUUGGAAAGUUUCGGCGGUUGGGGAUGGACUCGCGGCUUAUCAGCUUGUUGGUGGGGUAGUGGCUUACCAAGGCUUUGACGGGUAGCCGGCCUGAGAGGGUGACCGGCCACAUUGGGACUGAGGGACGGCCCAGACUCCGACGGGCGGCAACAGUCGGGAAUAUUGCGCAAUGGGCGCAAGUCUGAUGAGGCAACGCCGCGUGUGGGAUGACGGCCUUCGGGUUGUAAACCGCUUUCGCCUGUGACGAAGCGUGAGUGACGGUAAUGGGUAAAGAAGCACAGGCUAACUACGUG
rnacentral:rRNA from 1 species